GCGCAUCUGCGUUAUCAACUUCUCACUAGAUGGCACUGCUGUCUUCUGCUCAUUACACUUAACGUUAGCAUGUCGUAUUUCAGACAGUUGCCCUGCACGCUUAGGAUUUCUCCUGUUACCUUCAUCAGAAAGAAGGUAGCCCCAAAAGACAGAACGCCUAGCACGACCACUACCCCACCCCUAAGAAUUCAUGCUUUUCCUAACGUUCUUCUUUGCGGUGGAGGAAGAAAGUGUUUGGCAUUCCGUAUUGAAUGGACUUCAGUCGCAGACCCCAAAAAUUGACCUUAACAAAUCUGAUUGUAAGUGUGCAGAAGAAAAAAGGAAAAACAUAAUCAGAAGUCGAUGUGUCUAUUAUCUCAACUACCUACAAAGAACAGAGCAUACAAAACAAAUAGAAACCCCCCAUACUGUGUUGUUCCUCAUAAAAAACUGAAAAUCUCGCUUACACACAACAGGAUACAUGUGUGUAUCUUUUCUGUAAGAAACAGACUACAUAACUGAUCAUUCCAGUUAUCUGCAUAGCAACUUAGUGUUAUAUUCUUGCUUUCAAAAAAAGAUACUACAGUGAAACCCCGUGUGCAUGUCUGCGCACGCGCUACCUAUUUUUGGGCGAAGGCCAUACUGUCAGAAAGCUAAUUUGUGACAGUCUUUUCUUUGUGCCUGUCUGCUACUCGGCAUCUCCACUGUAUGAGGUAAAGAAAUGUGACUGUGUAAGACUCCUAGCAUCUAUAAUCGUUGGUCGGUUUGGAAAUACAUAUUGCUCUUGCAUAUAAUAUUGUUGUCGGAAGGAAAGAAAGCAAGCUGUCUUACAAUUGAGCACAAUUUGUCAGCAAAAACAGAGUGUGGCCAGACUGCUGCUUGUUGGAAGCUGCACCAAGAUAACAUGCCAUGUCACAGCAUGCUGCGAAUGUUGGACCAGGUCUGACUUCUUCCUCUCCAACGGAACCUCAGUGGAUACCAAUUCGCCUCCGUAGAAGGUGUCCAAAAUGCUGUGACAGUGUCCCUAAAGAGGAUCAUGGAAAGCAAGUUUCAGAAGGCAUACGUGCAGUGGGAAUCGCGUCACACGCUUUGUCGAAGUACAAGGGUGCUACUUCGAGGAAUUCUAAGGAUUAGUACCAGGUAAUUCAGUAAAAAAAAAUUAAAUUAAUUCAGUUCUGCUUCUUACUGAUUAAACCCUGUAUUUAUUUUGUAAAAGAAAUAAACCGAUGGAAAAACUUGCAACCUGUUCCAA